rnacentral:rRNA from 1 species
UACAGAGGUCCCGAGCGUUGUUCGGAUUCAUUGGGCGUAAAGGGUGCGUAGGCGGUUUUCUAAGUUUGAUGUGAAAUCCCGGGGCUCAACCCUGGAAUUGCAUUGAAUACUGGGAGACUAGAGUACUGGAGAGGAAACUGGAAUUUACGGUGUAGCAGUGAAAUGCGUAGAUAUCGUGAGGAAGACCAGUGGCGAAGGCGGGUCUCUGGACAGUUCCUGACGCUGAGGCGCGAAGGCCAGGGGAGCAAACGGG